UGACAGCCGGUUGGCCAGUUCCACGCUGUUCACGCCACAGCUGGGAGCCACGUUUCCUUUACAGCGGAUGUGGACAUUCAUCUUGCAGACUGGAGUGUGACACAGGCACACACGCAGACGCAGACACGCAGACGCAGACACGCAGAAACAGGUGUUAGAUUUCCAGCUGAACAAACCGAUACUAAAUGACUACACUCUUCACCAUGAUCCCUCUUGGUGUCCAUCAUCUGCAAUGGUACUGGCACCCCCCCCCCCCCCGGCCUUAC